rnacentral:tRNA from 1 species
GGAGGCGUCUGGGUCCUGGUGGGCCCCCUGGUCUUCAACACCAGUGAGACCGAGUACCUCGGUCUGGCGGGUUCGAUUCCCGUCCGCCUCCGCCA